ACAGGAAAAGAGCAAUAGAACCAACAAAAUGGGAUUAGCAUAUUUUAAGAGGUCUUUAGUUUUGCCAACCAUUGAGCAUAUAGUUACAAAAACAGUCAAUCGAGGUAGGUUUUAGUUUUGGAAACCGAAGAACGAAGACAACAAAGAAAUAUACAAAUUUUAUCCAAACUUUUGCAUUAUACAUGCUACUAGGAAUAGAUAUCCAGGAUGCUAGGUAUAGUAUAUAUCAAGCAGCUCCUUUGAUGAAUUGAUGUACAAUCACACAACUAGAAAAAUAGAGACAGCAGCUAUCAAAUCAAGGACAAUAAUUUUUCUUGAACCAGUGAAACCUCUACUAUUGCCAGUUGAAAUCUUGAAAUAAUGACAAGAGAUAUAUGAAGAUAGCGAAUUAUUCUGUCUGUAACAUGAAGAGAUUUCACAGAAAUAGAAGUAUAAGAAAAUGCUUCCCAUCCAAGAAUAUUCACCUCAUCAUAUUAUAAACAUAGUAAGAUUAGAACACAGAACAAUUAUGAAAACUGAACCUAUCCUUGUGGUAAGAAGUCCUUCUCUGAGCCUAGAAAUGUCCCAUGGCAACCAACUUACAAUUUUUACACAAUCAGACACGUCUUCGUAAUAAUAUAAACAUCACUAAACUGUAAUUCAAGUACACAUGUGCAGCUAUAUACGCCAUUGAUUAUCUAAUAACUCACCAUCGACAAACAUGUAACAGUGUUCAGAUGCUGAAUGUCAUUCAAUUUUCAGAACAAGCAAUAACUAAUAUUCUUAAAUUGAUAAAGAGAGUACAAAGUAGUUCUGUUUGAAAACUAUAACUAUUCAACUAGAAAGACAAGCACUAAACUACAAAAUGAUUUAGAAGCACAAAUUACAAACAACUUUUCAUAACUAUUAUACA